rnacentral:piRNA from 1 species
UGUAUAUAUUCUCAGGUAGAAGCCUGCC